UACGGGGGGGGCAAGCGUUGUUCGGAAUUACUGGGCGUAAAGGGCUCGUAGGCGGCCAACUAAGUCAGACGUGAAAUCCCUCGGCUUAACCGGGGAACUGCGUCUGAUACUGGAUGGCUUGAGUUCGGGAGAGGGAUGCGGAAUUCCAGGUGUGGCGGUGAAAUGCGUAGAUAUCUGGAGGAACACCGGUGGCGAAGGCGGCAUCCUGGACCGACACUGACGCUGAGGAGCGAAAGCCAGGGGAGCAAACGGG
rnacentral:rRNA from 1 species